UCCCUAAUGGUGCAGUGGAUCGGACUCUGCCUUUCCACCGCAGGGGGCACGGGUUCAAUUCCUGGUUGGGGAA
rnacentral:tRNA from 1 species